UACGUAGGGUGCGAGCGUUAAUCGGAAUUACUGGGCGUAAAGUGUGCGCAGGCGGCCGAGCAAGUCGAGUGUGAAAGCCCCGAGCUUAACUUGGGAACUGCGCUCGAAACUACUUGGCUAGAGUGUGGCAGAGGGAGGUGGAAUUCCACGUGUAGCGGUGAAAUGCGUAGAGAUGUGGAGGAACACCGAUGGCGAAGGCAGCCUCCUGGGCCAACACUGACGCUGAUGCACGAAAGCGUGUGGAUCAAACAGG
rnacentral:rRNA from 1 species